rnacentral:tRNA from 1 species
AAUAGCGUGAUGGAAUUGGUAGACAUGCUUGUUUUAGAAACAAGUUUUAAGAAGUAAAGGUUCAAGUCCUUUCGUUAUCA